UGGUCUUGAUCUCCUGACCUCAUGAUCCACCCGCCUCAGCCUCCCAAAGUGCUGGGAUUACAGGUAUGAGCCACCGCACCGGGCCUGUUCUAUUUUUCUAGUUAAGGGAACUGAAGCUCAGAGAGGUGUCACCAGCAGGUGUUCAUUCCCAUGCCAGCCUUGCCCCCCGGCUUUUCCCAGGCAGGCUCCUGCGUGCCCACUGGCUCCAGCCUGGUCCUCUGUCUCUUGGCUGCUUCACUCCUGCUCUUUGUCCCGACUCUGGCCCUGCUUACAGGGGCCACUACCUGCUGGUGCCUCCAUAACAAGCGUCUGGCGUUGAGACCCCUGGCAUGGCAGGGGCUUUGGGGUCUGGUUUCCACAAGGCUUAGCCAUGGCAGAACCUCGUUUUAUUUUAACUCUUUGCCCCUACAAACAAACAGCAGUACUUGCCAGAACCAUUCUUGGGAUUCAGGAGCUCGGGCGACUGCCUUGGCCUCUGGCCGCACCCAGGAGGGUGGGGUUGGAUCUGUGUAGUUGCCAGGCCCACACCUGCCAGCAGGGGGCUGACUGGAUCCAUGCUUUACUGUGUUUAAUGGGGGUAACAGGGGUCCCUACAGCCCUCCCAGCUAAACAUUUGGAACAAAACACCAGCCCUUUUGUAGUGGAUGCAGAAUAAAAUUGUUAAUCCAAUCACCU
rnacentral:lncRNA from 1 species